AGGCGUUGGGCCAUAUUAGACAUAUAACCUGCACACUGAACAUUGAGAGCCAGAGAAUCCUUAACAGCCAACUCAUCAGACCGUUUGGAAAAUAGUAUGUUAUCUUUAGGAGUGAUAAGGUUCCUGGCCACCACCGCAGCGGUCAUAUCAUUCUUCAUCACAGAGUCCCCAAUGGUAAGAGGACCAGUAUGAGAUGAGAAGGAUGGGCGCCAUAUGUUGUCUUGAGAAGGCAUUGCUGCCUCUUCACCAAAGUUCAAGUCAAAACGACGGU
rnacentral:lncRNA from 1 species